rnacentral:sRNA from 1 species
GGUAUAAGAUUUUUUUGUGGUGAAUCCCCCUGAGCGGAGGGGCGUAAUCAGCACCCGGUUAACAGCAAGACAACCUAACACGCAAGUUUCAGUCGCUGGCUCGAACUUACCGGGAGGCACCCGGCACCACAACUCAAAAAAAUAUCUCACAAGCCUGCGAUGCAGGCUUUUUU